rnacentral:lncRNA from 1 species
GGCCCGGGGCUGCGGCCGGUGUCGCGGGCGCUGCGGAAGGAGAAGGCACCUAGACUGUACUGGGAAGGCUCCUGGAGUUGACCUGGAGCGCCAGGAAAGGUCAGUGGAGGAAAGUGCUCCAAGCAGAGGGAAGAGCUUGUGCCAAGGCCCUGAGACCCCGGCGGGGGAGCCUAAUAAUGGCAGGUAACAGUCAGCACUUGCCACGCGCGAGGCAUGUUCUCAGUGUGUGUCUUGUGUCAUUUCUGUGAUGCUUGCACAUCGUCAGGGGGUACCUACCACUGGAACCUCCUCUUUUAACAAAUGAGGAAACUGAGGCACACAGCGGUUAAGGGACUUACGCUAGGUCACACAGCAGUAGAGCUGGGCUGGGGCAGGGGGCAGCUCCUCAAGUGGAACCUGGAGAGCCCACGGGGCAAAUGGCGGAGGCUGGAGGGGCUGGCAAGGGAGGGACUGCAAAGGGCCUCACAGGGGCUAGACGAGGGCCCUGGGCACCAGUGAUUAUGGUGCCCCCCCAUGUGGAUUGAAGAUUAAACCUCGAAGCAAGUGUAUAAUGCCCCCAAAAAUCACAU